GACGAACGCUGGCGGCGUGCCUAAUACAUGCGAGUAGAACGCACAGUUUAUACCGUAGCUUGCUACACCAUAGACUGUGAGUUGCGAACGGGUGAGUAACGCGUAGCUAACCUGCCUGGUAGCGUGGGAUAACUAUUGGAAACGAUAGCUAAUACCGCAUAAUAUUAAUUAUUGCAUGAUAAUUAAUUGAAAGGUGCAAUUGCACCACUACCAGACGGACCUGCGUUGUAUUAGCUAGUAGGUGAGGUAACGGCUCACCUAGGCGCCGAUACAUAGCCGAACUGAGAGGGUGGUCGGCCACACUGGGACUGAGACACGGCCCAGACGCCUACGGGAGGCAGCAGUAGGGAAUCUGCGGCAAUGGACGAAAGUCUGACCGAGAGACGCCGCGUGAGUGAAGAAGGUUUUCGGAUCGUAAAGCUCUGUUGUAAGAGAAGAACGGGGGUGAGAGUGGAAAGUUCACACUGUGACGGUAUCUUACCAGAAAGGGACGGCUAACUACGUG
rnacentral:rRNA from 1 species